rnacentral:misc_RNA from 1 species
ACACGCACACGCGCACACUCGAGGGUAGCGACCGAAACAUCAAGCACCAUAAGGAGUUACGUGUAGUGGUUACCUGCUGCUUCCAUUCUCCGCCACAUUUUACACGCACACGCACACGCAUAAAGCGAAAAGUGCACCAGAAGACUCCGCGGCAAGGGGCACACUAGACAUACAUCUCGAGGGCGGAAGCCGUGUGCACUCGCGCAUCUUCGAAUAAAACGCGGCGGAAAAUGGCGGCGUCUGCAUCGCCCUCAACAAACAACCCGGGUCUGCUCAACUACAUGAUCCGCGCCCUGCUCGCCGGCGGCUUCAUCUCCAUCUUCACCUUCUUUAUGGCGGUGCACUUCUACUAUGCCAGCGCCGCUCUGCUGGACGUGGUGGUGCUGCUCAUUCUCUUCUUCCUCCUUUCCUUCUUUGGCCUGAGCAUCACCUCGCUCGUGCUGUCGGCCGUGGUGGGCCCUGGUGAACUACCCUCGCGCUUCUCGGCGGCGCGCAUGGAAACGUUCAUUCGCGAGGAGCUGCAGUGUGCCUUGGCAAAGGCGCACGGCGGCAGAGGCGGCGGCCAGGCAGGAACAACGGCGGAGCCGGUGCGUGAAGGUGCCGCCAGUGCCCGCAAUAGCAGUCGUGCUGUGGCGGCGAAGGCGAAGGUGGGGGAGCCGAACUGGAACGAUGUGGAUGAGGCUGAGAGCCAGCAGCUGGCGAACGUCGCCUCUACCGCAGCAAUCCUGCGGCGCAGCAGUCCCACUGCCGAGGAGGAGGAGCUAGAGCGUGCCGCCGUCGAGGCGCGGCUGUGCAUGUACACGGAAGACGGUGGCUCGACGUCUCAACUCUCCGAUGGCGACACGGCAGGUGCAGUGAGUGGGGUACGACAAGCUGAGGACAAUGGCGAUAACGGCGAGGAGGUUGCGGCGGAGGACAAUUCAGAGCUGCCGCCGUACAUGACGGAGGCGAUGCAGAUGCGGCGCCAACGCAAAGUCCGUCGAGGGCUGGAGAUCGUGCUGGUGAGUCAUGCUGCCCGCAAGGUGCUGGAGGCCAUCGACGGCACCGACAUGGAUCGCAAGCAGGAGGAGAUGGGCUUCCUUAUUCCGGGCGCCAACUGGUGCCGAUUCUGCAACUUUUAUCAGAUGAACGAUACGCGACACUGCAAGGUGUGCAACCGGUGCGUGUACCGCUCGAAGCUGCACUGCAUCUGCUGCGGGCAGUGCAUCGGCUACGCGAACAGCAAGUAUUACGUGCUCUUUCUUUUCUACCUAUGCCUAUCCUUGGUGAUGGCGGACGUGCUCGACCUCUACUGUGUCUCGUGGGGGUACACGUUCUUCUUCAAGGCUUCUGGCGAUGCCAACUCCGUCUUCUAUUUGGUCUUUGUGUACAGCGCGAGCUUCGCCGUUGUCGGACUGGGGCUCCUGGUGCAAUAUCUCUACGCUGCCGGCCGCGGUGUGGGUCUUCUCACGGACCUGCUGCGACAGCAGCGAGACGAGCUUCAGGCCGCCCGGGCACGCAACAACGGCGAGCAGUACCAGCCUGUGCUGUCGGAGAGAACCAUGCACGCGGCCGAGGAGGGUUCAGCCAGUCCCAUGCAGGAAACCUUGCCGUUUAGCUGGCGCAUGGCCAUGGAGACCGUGGGCGAAGGGCUGCCGCUGCCGCUGUGGCUCUGGCCGACCCCGACGCUGCCGGCUGCCAAGGAGACGGAUGACCCACCGGGCUUCUGGGACGCUUUCAAGGAGGCGAUCCGCCUUCGCCUGCGCAGUGUCGCCGACGAGGACGACGUCUUUAGCGACGAGGACGUGCUCGGCGAUGCUCAUGCGGCUGGCACCUUCACCAAUGGUGCAGCGCGGUCGGCUGCGGACAUCGCGCGCGCUGCCCCCCAACUUUCAACAGCGUCGACACCUCUACCGCUAAGGUCGCGAAUGCCGUACCACGCGAAGAGCACGGAUGUGACGGUGGUAGCCCCGGUGGUGGUAGAGGUGACUUCCGCAGUCUCACCAAUGCACGUGAAUCCCUCGGCACCGCCGGCUGCCAAGGUGGCCCCUAUUCCGAAGCAUGAGGCGGACUGAAGAGGAGGGGUGAGGAUGUGGGGGUACGCCUGCCUGUCUGCGUGCGUGUGUGUAUGAAACCCACCUCUAGUGGGAUGCGGGUGCUCAUGCAAGGUUGCUUGGCGGAUUGCCUGCUUCUGUGUGUGUGUGUGUGUGUGUGUGCUGUAUGAGGAAUCCUCACGCGGCAGCUUGCCGCUGCUCUUUGCUAACGAGGUGACUCCCCCCUCUCCCCACCCCGCAGGUGUUUUCUCUCUCUCUCUCUGCGACUUGCUCUGCGUCUCUUUGACCUCCAAUGGUUCUCUUGAAGUUGCUUUUUCCAGGUGGCGCCUCCCCCCUCCCUGCCCCUCCCUUUCUUCCCCCCUCCCUCUCCUCCCAUUUACACGCACGUGCACGGUCACGGACAUCCGCAGAGACUCCCCUCCUCUCUUCCACCCCCUCCGCUCCCUCCCUCCCUCCCCGCUUGCUCCUCCUCAACCUCCUCUUCCUUUACUUCGUGUUGGUAGGUUCUUAGCCGGGUUUUACCGUUUUUUUUUGCGUUUUUGCGUUUGAUGUCUGCCUGCCUGCCCGCCCCUUGUCCUUCCCGAUUCUUCUCUGGGUCUUUUACGUCUGGUGUGGCGCCUCUCCUCGGGAUAGCCUUGUGUUCCUGUGUGUAGGUGCGUGUGGGUUUUAGGGGGGGAGGAUAGGGAGUGGGAG